rnacentral:rRNA from 1 species
GUGGGGAAUUUUGGACAAUGGGCGCAAGCCUGAUCCAGCAAUGCCGCGUGCAGGAAGAAGGCCUUCGGGUUGUAAACUGCUUUUGUACGGAACGAAACGGUCCUGGUUAAUACCUGGGGCUAAUGACGGUACCGUAAGAAUAAGCACCGGCUAACUACGUGCCAGCAGCCGCGGUAAUACGUAGGGUGCGAGCGUUAAUCGGAAUUACUGGGCGUAAAGCGUGCGCAGGCGGUGCUGUAAGACAGGCGUGAAAUCCCCGGGCUCGACCUGGGAAUUGCGCUUGUGACUGCAGUGCUGGAGUGCGGCAGAGGGGGAUGGAAUUCCGCGUGUAGCAGUGAAAUGCGUAGAUAUGCGGAGGAACACCGAUGGCGAAGGCAAUCCCCUGGGCCUGCACUGACGCUCAUGCACGAAAGCGUGGGGAGCAAACAGGAUUAGAAACCCCUGUAGUCC